rnacentral:lncRNA from 1 species
CAGUUUUUUGUUUUGUUUUCCCGAGAGUUCUAGGGGAUCCCGGUCUUCAUGCUCCGGGAGGCAUCUUUAAGAUCCUCUCCGGCCGUUCCGGGGUGACCUCGGGGCCCCGCCGGCAGUUUUUUGUGUCUUCUUGAGGUGUUUGCACAAGAUUCAGGCUUAUUGGCCUUACUGUCGCUUCGUCAUCUCAGCUGGUUUUGUACCUAACUGAGGUCUUGUUUCAAGGGAUCUUUUUGAGCCCUGUUCUUUCUUUUUCAUGGAGGAAUGUUAUUCUUUUUCAUGGAGGAAUGUUAUUCAUGAAGAUAAUUCAUAUUUGUAUAAAUAAUUUCUUUUUACUCAUAUUUGUCAAAAUACAAUGUUUUUCUUUACAAAUAUUUCAAGGGAAAUACCUUUUUAGGUGCUGGAUGUUCCAAGCAUGGGGCUCGGGGUUUCCUUGCAUAUCCUCGAUUCGGUAUACCCCUGGCUUGACCACUUUUGUCACCUUGAAAGGACCUUCCCAGGUCGGUGCUAACUUGCCCGCGGCCGCUCUUUUUCCUGUAGCUUCCAGGUUUCUUAAGGUCAGGUCUCCCACUUUUAAGCUUCUUUCUCUGACCUUUUGGUUGUAAUAUCUCGCUGCUCGUUGUUGAUAAGCGGCAGUUCGGACUUGGGCUUCU